rnacentral:lncRNA from 1 species
ACAUCACGUUUCUCCCACGGGGCCGGGAAGUGUCACAGGGCCUCGAUGGGGGAUGAAGGCUGCCUUAGGUCUAAAACGAGGUCGUGCUCUACUUUGGGAAGUGGAAGGCGGGGGGGGGGGGGGGGGGGGGGGGGGCACAGUAUCCGACACCCCGAGCGCGGAGGAAGCGCGUGCACCGGGCCGGCUGCAGGCUGAGCCCUGGAUCUGGGCCGUGGGGGCAGCCAGGGCGGCGGUCCCGGCCAGCCCCGAAGGCCACCCACACUGCUGGGCUUUUACCUUGGAGGAUGUGGGACAGAGCGGUCUGGACUCCGACCACCGCGGCAGACAGGCCCUGACCCCGGGAGCAGGCCAGGUGGAGGCGGACGCCACAGAGGACGCAUGUUGCUUGGUAGGAAUGGGGAUGAACCGUGAGAUGCCGACGUCUCCCUCAGCUCGAAGGUUUCAUGUGCACAUGCUGCACUGUCCCACGUGGAUUAGAGGACACUGCCCCCCUCGCCCCUGCCUCCCAGCCUCUGACUGA